ACCUGUGCAGUCUCUAACAUAAAUCGAACGCACCCUUUAUGGUGGGGCGGUUUAUUUAAGCUAAUUAUGCUCUUCGUCCUCUGCUGCCACCUGCUGAUUUUUUAAAUUCUAAUUUAAAUAUCUUCGAGCAACUUUUAACACAGGUUGCUCUUCUUAGCUUUUUAGAAACCAGCACAAAUGCCCAAAAGUUCACUCAUGCAGCUUUUUCUUGGCUAAGAGGAAGAAUAUUUCCUUAACCGAAUUCAUUAGCUCGUCGUUUUAGCUUUGCCUGUUAGCAACAGUUGUACUUGAAGCCUUGUGACUUCCUGUCAUACCUGUUGGCAGCUCAGUACCACAACUCCUACCAAAGGACACCUGUUUCCAAAGGAUUUUUUCCCCACUAAUGCGAAGAUAUGUUGAUCAUUACUUCGUCAUUUCAUCUAAGGUGCUGACUUAUUGUUCACAAAGACAGUUUUCCCCCGGGGGAGCAGGUCAGCCGCUGUGCCAAGCCUGAGAGCUGAAAAUGGAGGUGACAGGAUGUUGAUGAGGAGGCCCGAAGCGUUACCUCCAACCGCCGUGCCCUGGAGUGCUCCGCUCUGCCAGCCGUCUGUCCACCUAACAGAUUUCCCAGGUGACCAGACACGUCAAGAUCAAAUUCCCAGAGCUCGUCCUUAAUCUGUCGAUUGAACAUUGAGUGCUGAUGCACCCGAAGCCCUCCGUGAUCCUGAGGAUCAUGCAAGGAUCCAUACGCAGAUUUGUAUUGGUCCCGAGCUGGAUGGAAGCAUUUCCUCCUGGGGAAAACUGUGAUCGUGAUGAAAGGGUAACAAUACACAGCCUUGGGAAUCAUUGCUGCGCAAUAUUUUGCAGAUGGGUGGUGUAGGAUCUCUGUUUUAUAGUGACAUCCAGAGGUUUUACCACCUUUUCUCCCACAGUUGUCAACAGGGAGCCCAAAAUUACAGUGUGAGGAGAGACGGUGGUUUCACACCGCACUUCGCCUCCGACCUCAAGACUCGCACGUGAUCUCAAUGGCUCUCGGGUGGCGUAACGUGAAGGACAUAUUCACUGACUGAGUUCUUGAUGCUGAAGAAGAGGCAGUCAGGCAUGAAUCCCAUCUGGACAAUCAAAGAGAUUGGACUAAUCUGAUCUGCCUCGUAUUCACCUGGGUGUGAUUAACCGUGCCUGAUUUAGGAGAGAGGGGAGAAAGAAAAGAUGAAUGAAUAUUUCUGCUUCUAGCGCUCUCACACAUGACUAUUGUACUCAAAAAUGGCUCUGACACAUCUCAUUAUGAAACACAAGAUGUGAUUUGGUACACUGCUGAGCUGUGAUCAAAUGCGGGAAUUCAUUCAGAUUGCCAGUUUUGCCAGUGACAAACCUGGCAUUUCAAUGCGGUUUUCAAGAACUGCAGCUUUUCGGAUAUGAGACGAGUCUAAAGGAGAAAAAGGUCAGACUUGUCAAAUUCACACAAACACGCACUUUCAGCCACGAGGGACGAGUCGAGUGAACGCGCUGACCUCACGGCCACAAAUGCGUGUGCUCCCUCAGAGGGUAACCGUCAAGAUUAAUGACCGACAUCAACAUCCGCUCCCUGAAGGAAACAAAGGCAUUUUAGAGCUACCUGUAUGGGUGUGCAUGGAUCAGUGGUGAGCUACAGUACAGUAACUCCAUUCAGCAUCAUUCAUUGACAGCAGGUUAUGGUGAUUAAGUGCUCCUUUAUCAGUUCGAGGGCUACAACAAAGGUACAAAAUAGGAUUAAGCGGAGACGUGGAGACGCUACCACUGCUAAUGCUACGGCCCUUUGAGAAUCUGCUGGCAAUGAGAAGAGCCGAGAUGCUGCAGGGCAGGAUUACUGAACAAAGAGAUGGAGGGAUAUGGAAUGAGGUGUGGGAGCCUCCCUCCACUACUUUCAUCUUGACAUCCAAACCUCUUAAGUGCUUCCCGUAUCAUCAAAUUCUACUCGUUGAGGCAGCCUCGUUCGUUUUUUUCCAUCUCUCACGACCGUGGCGUGUUGUCUGUUGUCGGAUGAGUUAGUGCUGAGAGGCAACAGCAGCGGACGUGGUUGGUUCAAGCGGUGAGAGGGACAGUCAUUCAUCAAGAGGAAGUGAAGUGCAGUAGAGGCAUUAAGUGUUAGGUAGAUAAAUGGCUAAUAACCUCAAGGAAUGAGUUGAUUCAUCACUUCCUAAAAUGAAGUUCAUUAAAGGACUAUCAGUGGAGAUACAUCAGUGUCUCCUACUCCAGAUGUUUGUUGCAGUGGACGUUAAGCUUUUCCUCCAAGAAAAAUGUAAAAAAAUUAAAAAAAAUAUUGUAGCUAACCUUUCUCUGCCAUUUUUUCUUGCAGUGCAAAGUAAGAACUG